UCAUGAAUUCUAACAUUAACAGCCCUUGUUACUGGCCUGAGGGACCUGUUUUAAUCAUGUUAUUGAUGCAUAUCAUACUACGUGAUACAGAGGGCUGUGGCUUCCUCAGGAACCAAGGGUAGAGGAGGAAAUAAGCAAUAUGCUCUGAGUCAUCACCUGUCUGUCUUUGAGACGGCCAAGAAGGGGACGGUGCGAGCUGCAUUGAUUUCACUGGUAGUGUGUGGACCGGAAACUCCUGCCUGUAUUUAUGAGGGUGAGGACUCAAGACUCCCUUCUUAACUCUAUUGCUGACACGUUGCAGAAGAGAGGUGAUAUAAUCCAAAGAAACCAUCUACCUGCUUUGUAAAAGUUUUCCAAGGCACCUAUCACUGCUGUUCGGAAAUAUCAUGAAAAGCAGGGGAAGCUCAGAAUCUGCAACUACAGAAUCUCACAGAGCCGGAGGAGAAGAAUAAACAGGUAGCAGCACCUCAUGAUUGCUAUUUGACUACAGGGCUACUACAGUUGGGAUUCCUGUUACACAACUCAACAGUCUGAUUUUUAACCACCAAGUGCGUCCUGUCUGUACCAGUCAGGACCCAGCCCACAGCUAUGGCAGUUUCUUUUCCCACUCAGCAAUUUGUUCACUUUUGUUCCUAAGCCAGAAUACAUUAUUAGGGCUGCCUAUGAUGUAUUCAGCUGACUCUUUGGCCAUUUGGCCUGAAUUAUUUGCAUGUAUGCUUGCAAGUAGAUAUAUAGAUAUAGGUGCAUUUUCAAAGCUGUGAAAAGAAGAAUAUAAACAUUAUCUACAUCUGAGGCAUACUGUGUCAUUUUUACCAUGUAAAUGAUUGAAUUUGUCUUUCUUGUUUUAUUUGCUUAAUUUUAUUAUUUGUUUUCAUGUGUGCAUGUUGGUGGCCCCAGCAGGCCCUCAGAAAAAUCUGCAAUUCUGUGAACCAAACUUUGCAGAAAUGAUUAACAUGUUUACUGUAUUGUAAUGAAUAGACUAGCUGCAUUGAAGUGGCACACUGAAAUACUAUACCAAUGGGUUCUGUCACAUGCAAAAACCAUGCUUUUUACCUAUAACAGUUUAUACUGCACUGUACAAGUAAGUAUAAAGCACUGAAUGCUUUCA